ACUGCGCUGAUGAGCCCCAAAAGGGCGAAACAGUUGUCCGCAGU
rnacentral:sRNA from 1 species